GACGAACGCUGGCGGCGUGCUUAACACAUGCAAGUCGAACGGAAAGGCCUUUUCGGCGGUACUCGAGUGGCGAACGGGUGAGUAACACGUGGGUGAUCUGCCCUGCACUCUGGGAUAAGCCUGGGAAACUGGGUCUAAUACCGGAUAGGACCGCACUUUAGCGUGUGUGGUGGAAAGUUUUUUCGGUGUAGGAUGAGCCCGCGGCCUAUCAGCUUGUUGGUGGGGUAAUGGCCUACCAAGGCGGCGACGGGUAGCCGGACUGAGAGGUUGGUCGGCCACAUUGGGACUGGGAUACGGCCCAGACUCCUACGGGAGGCAGCAGUGGGGAAUAUUGCACAAUGGGCGCAAGCCUGAUGCAGCGACGCCGCGUGGGGGAUGACGGCCUUCGGGUUGUAAACUCCUUUCGCCAGGGACGAAGCGUUUUGUGACGGUACCUGGAGAAGAAGCACCGGCUAACUACGUG
rnacentral:rRNA from 1 species